rnacentral:rRNA from 1 species
GACGAACGCUGGCGGCGUGCUUAACACAUGCAAGUCGAACGGAAAGGCCCUGCUUUUGUGGGGUGCUCGAGUGGCGAACGGGUGAGUAACACGUGAGUAACCUGCCCUUGACUUUGGGAUAACUUCAGGAAACUGGGGCUAAUACCGGAUAGGAGCUCCUGCUGCAUGGUGGGGGUUGGAAAGUUUCGGCGGUUGGGGAUGGACUCGCGGCUUAUCAGCUUGUUGGUGGGGUAGUGGCUUACCAAGGCUUUGACGGGUAGCCGGCCUGAGAGGGUGACCGGCAACAUUGGGACUGAGGUACGGCCCAGACUCCUACGGGAGGCAGCAGUGGGGAAUAUUGCACAAUGGGCGGAAGCCUGAUGCAGAAACGCCGCGUGCGGGAUGACGGCCUUCGGGUUGUAAACCGCUUUCGCCUGUGACGAAGCGUGAGUGACGGUAAUGGGUAAAGAAGCACCGGCUAACUACGUG